UACAGAGGUCUCAAGCGUUGUUCGGAUUCAUUGGGCGUAAAGGGUGCGUAGGCGGCGCGGUAAGUCGGGUGUGAAAUCUCGGAGCUUAACUCCGAAACUGCAUUCGAUACUGCCGUGCUUGGGGACUGGAGAGGAGACUGGAAUUUACGGUGUAGCGGUGAAAUGCGUAGAUAUCGUAAGGAAGACCAGUGGCGAAGGCGGGUCUCUGGACAGUUCCUGACGCUGAGGCACGAAGGCCAGGGGAGCAAACGGG
rnacentral:rRNA from 1 species